rnacentral:rRNA from 1 species
CGCGUGGGUAAUCUCUCCCUGGAUUUGGGAUAACAUUGCGAAAGCGAUGCUAAUACCGGAUGAGGUCAUGGCGGUUUAGACGGUCAUGAUGAAAGGUGGCCUCUGCGAGCAAGCUACUGUUUGGGGAUGAGCCCGCGUACCAUUAGCUAGUCGGUAGGGUAAAGGCCUACCGAGGCGACGAUGGUUAGCUGGUCUGAGAGGAUGAUCAGCCACACUGGAACUGACACACGGUCCAGACUCCUACGGGAGGCAGCAGUGAGGAAUUUUGCGCAAUGGGGGGAACCCUGACGCAGCAACGCCGCGUGAGUGAUGAAGGCCUUCGGGUCGUAAAGCUCUGUCAAGUGGGAAGAACCUAUGUUGGGUUAAUAUCGCAGCAUACUAACGGUACCACUGAAGGAAGCACCGGCUAACUCCGUGCCAGCAGCCGCGGUAAUACGGAGGGUGCGAGC